ensembl:snRNA U6 U6 spliceosomal RNA
GUGCUUGCUUUGGCAGCAUAUAUACCAAAAUUGAAACAACAGAGAGAUUAGCAUGGCCCCUGGGCAAGGAUGACAUGCAAAUUCAUGAAGCAUUUGAUAUUUUG